UGGGCGUAAAGAGCUCGUAGGCGGUUUGUCGCGUCUGCUGUGAAAACCCGAGGCUCAACCUCGGGCCUGCAGUGGGUACGGGCAGACUAGAGUGCGGUAGGGGAGAUUGGAAUUCCUGGUGUAGCGGUGGAAUGCGCAGAUAUCAGGAGGAACACCGAUGGCGAAGGCAGAUCUCUGGGCCGUUACUGACGCUGAGGAGCGAAAGGGUGGGGAGCAAACAGGCUUAGAUACCCUGGUAGUCCACCCCGUAAACGUUGGGAACUAGAUGUGGGGACCAUUCCACGGUCUCCGUGUCGCAGCUAACGCAUUAAGUUCCCCGCCUGGGGAGUACGGCCGCAAGGCUAAAACUCAAAGGAAUUGACGGGGGCCCGCACAAGCGGCGGAGCAUGCGGAUUAAUUCGAUGUAACGCGAAGAACCUUACCAAGGCUUGACAUAUACCGGAAACGGCGAGAGAUCGUCGCCCCGCAAGGUCAGUAUACAGGUGGUGCAUGGUUGUCGUCAGCUCGUGUCGUGAGAUGUUGGGUUAAGUCCCGCAACGAGCGCAACCCUCGUUCUAUGUUGCCAGCACGUAAUGGUGGGAACUCAUGGGAUGCUGCCGGGGUCAACUCGGAGGAAGGUGGGGACGACGUCAAAUCAUCAUGCCCCUUAUGUCUUGGGCUUCACGCAUGCUACAAUGGCCAGUACAAAGGGCUGCAAUACCGUAAGGUGGAGCGAAUCCCAAAAAGCUGGUCCCAGUUCGGAUUGAGGUCUGCAACUCGACCUCAUGAAGUCGGAGUC
rnacentral:rRNA from 1 species